UACGUAGGCAGCAAGCGUUGUUCGGAAUUACUGGGCGUAAAGCGCGUGUAGGCGGGUGAUCAAGUCAGGUGUGAAAUCCCCAGGCUCAACCUGGGAACUGCACUUGAAACUGGUCGCCUUGAGUGUUGGAGAGGGAAGCGGAAUUCCUGGUGUAGAGGUGAAAUUCGUAGAGAUCGGGAGGAAGGCCGGUGGCGAAGGCGGCGCUCUGGAACGGCCCUGACACUGAGGCUCGAAAGCGUGGGGAGCAAACAGG
rnacentral:rRNA from 1 species